rnacentral:rRNA from 1 species
UACGAGGGGGGCAAGCGUUGUUCGGAAUUAUUGGGCGUAAAGGGCGCGUAGGCGGUGUCGCAAGUCCGUGGUGAAAUCUCUAGGCUCAACUUAGAGACUGCCGCGGAAACUGCGGUGCUUGAGUGUGGGAGAGGUGCGUGGAAUUUCCGGUGGAGCGGUGAAAUGCGUAGAGAUCGGAAAGAACACCAACGGCGAAAGCACUCUGCUGGGCCGACACUGACACUCAUGGACGACCGCGUGGGGAGCGAACCGG